rnacentral:rRNA from 1 species
UGGGGAAUUUUGGACAAUGGGCGAAAGCCUGAUCCAGCAAUGCCGCGUGUGUGAAGAAGGCCUUCGGGUUGUAAAGCACUUUUGUCCGGAAAGAAAUCCUUGGCUCUAAUACAGUCGGGGGAUGACGGUACCGGAAGAAUAAGCACCGGCUAACUACGUGCCAGCAGCCGCGGUAAUACGUAGGGUGCAAGCGUUAAUCGGAAUUACUGGGCGUAAAGCGUGCGCAGGCGGUUUGCUAAGACCGAUGUGAAAUCCCCGGGCUCAACCUGGGAACUGCAUUGGUGACUGGCAGGCUAGAGUAUGGCAGAGGGGGGUAGAAUUCCACGUGUAGCAGUGAAAUGCGUAGAGAUGUGGAGGAAUACUGAUGGCGAGGCGAG